rnacentral:rRNA from 1 species
GACGAACGCUGGCGGCGUGCUUAACACAUGCAAGUCGAACGCUGAAACCAGAUGCUUGCAUUUGGUGGAUGAGUGGCGAACGGGUGAGUAACACGUGGGUGAUCUGCCCUACACUUUGGGAUAAGCCUGGGAAACUGGGUCUAAUACCGAACAUUCACACCACCGUAGGGGUGGUGUGGAAAGCCUUGUGCGGUGUGGGAUGAGCCUGCGGCCUAUCAGCUUGUUGGUGGGGUAAUGGCCUACCAAGGCGUCGACGGGUAGCCGGCCUGAGAGGGUGUACGGCCACAUUGGGACUGAGACACGGCCCAGACUCCUACGGGAGGCAGCAGUGGGGAAUAUUGCACAAUGGGCGCAAGCCUGAUGCAGCGACGCCGCGUGGGGGAUGACGGCCUUCGGGUUGUAAACUCCUUUCGCUAGGGGCGAAGCCUAUGGUGACGGUACCUGGAGAAGAAGCACCGGCUAACUACGUGCCAGCCGCCGCAGUAAAAC